UACGUAGGGGGCGAGCGUUGUCCGGAAUUAUUGGGCGUAAAGAGCGUGUAGGCGGAUCGGUAAGUCUGCCGUGAAAACCUGGGGCUCAACCCUGGGCGUGCGGUGGAUACUGCCGGGCUAGAGGGUGGUAGAGGCGAGUGGAAUUCCCGGUGUAGCGGUGAAAUGCGCAGAUAUCGGGAGGAACACCAGUAGCGAAGGCGGCUCGCUGGGCCAUUCCUGACGCUGAGACGCGAAAGCUAGGGGAGCGAACAGG
rnacentral:rRNA from 1 species